rnacentral:tRNA from 1 species
UAAUACUAGUAGUACAUACUAGUAGUACGUACUACUACUAGUGGUACAUACUAGUAGUAUUAGUACUAGUAAACCUAGUACGAGUAUUAGUAGUACUAG